CCCAUGGAGGAAUUCGGGGAGGAACGCUGCCUUUCCGGCCCCACGGGGGCGACAAAACGGCCUGGAGCAACUUCCGCCUUCAAUCAUCUGCACUUCCGGCCUCCUUGAGGCGACUUCCGGCCGCCCUGAGGCCACUUCCGCCGCGGGAAGCCGCCGCGACCGCGAUGUGGCAGAACCGGAGCCGCUCGGGGCGUGGGACCCCAAAGAAGGCUGAGAGAACCCCGAAAACGGCCGAAGAUCCCCCCCAGGACCCCCCCAUCUCAGCCCUGAAGGAAUUCUCGAAAUGGGUCUGGGGCCUCUCAAGAAACCUUAAACUGUGUCGGGCGGGCUCUGAAGAGGACAAAAGACCCCCCCCAAAAAAACUGGGACUUGGGGGCUCUGAAGGGAUCCCGCGAACUGGGACUCGAGGGGCAAUAAAAAGGGGGGGCUCUGGACCCUCCCCAGGCUGAGAUCUGUGGGGACAGGACCCCCCCCAUGUCCCGGUGUGGGGACAAUAAAGGGGGGCCACCAGCGCCUCCC